AUUAACCGGAUUAGAUACCCUGGUAGUCCACGCCCUAAACGAUGUCUACUAGUUGUCGGGUUUUAAUUAACUUGGUAACGCAGCUAACGCGUGAAGUAGACCGCCUGGGGAGUACGGUCGCAAGAUUAAAACUCAAAGGAAUUGACGGGGACCCGCACAAGCGGUGGAUGACGUGGAUUAAUUCGAUGCAACGCGAAAAACCUUACCUACCCUUGACAUGUACGGAGGGCCGAAGAGAUUUGGCUGUGCUCGAAAGAGAACCGUAACACAGGUGCUGCAUGGCUGUCGUCAGCUCGUGUCGUGAGAUGUUGGGUUAAGUCCCGCAACGAGCGCAACCCUUGUCAUUAGUUGCUACGAAAGGGCACUCUAAUGAGACUGCCGGUGACAAACCGGAGGAAGGUGGGGAUGACGUCAAGUCCUCAUGGCCCUUAUGGGUAGGGCUUCACACGUCAUACAAUGGUACAUACAGAGCGCCGCCAACCCGCGAGGGGGAGCUAAUCGCAGAAAGUGUAUCGUAGUCCGGAUUGUAGUCUGCAACUCGACUGCAUGAAGUUGGAAUCGCUAGUAAUCGCGGAUCAGCAUGUCGCGGUGAAUACGUUCCCGGGUCUUGUACACACCGCCCGUCACACCAUGGGAGCGGGUUUUACCAGAAGUAGGUAGCUUAACCGCAAGGAGGGCGCUUACCACGGUAGGAUUCGUGACUGGGGUGAAGUCGUAACAAGGUAACCGUA
rnacentral:rRNA from 1 species